GACCGGCGCACGGGUGCGUAACGCGUAUGUAACCUACCGUAUAACAGGGGCAUAACACUGAGAAAUUGGUACUAAUUCCCCAUAAUAUUCGGAGAGGCAUCUCUCCGGGUUGAAAACUCCGGUGGUUAUAGAUGGACAUGCGUUGUAUUAGCUAGUUGGUGAGGUAACGGCUCACCAAGGCAACGAUACAUAGGGGGGACUGAGAGGUUAACCCCCCCACACUGGUACUGAGACACGGACCAGACUCCUACGGGAGGCAGCAUG
rnacentral:rRNA from 1 species